UUCAGGAGAUACUCCGGUGCUGCUGGAGCCAUGGGUUUUGGGAGUGCUUACCAUUGACCUGCAUUGUGUCCACCAUGAAGCAGAAGGUGCCGGACAUGAGAGAGGCUGGUGAGAAAGAGCAAAGUACCCACACAGCUGCCUGGCGGGAAGCGAGGAGCCCCAGCGAGAAGGGGGAUUGCAUCUCACAAGCCCUCUUACAUUUUAUUCAAACUACCCAGUCUUGGCUAUUCCCUGCAGACAGAAAAAUGUAGAUGCAGCAUAUGUCUAAGUGAUAUCAUGGUUGCAGUACUCUUCAUCACUCAGAAAGAUUUUUCAGUGCCAGAAGUCUGAGAAGAUGAUGGGACUGAGAUAAGAACAGAAAAUUAUUUUGAUCAGAAAAAAUUAUGAAGAUUUCAGAGCUUACCAAGAAAAUGCAAUUAUUUUCUUGGACCGUGUCCUCUAAACUUCUUCCCACAGGAAAACUUUUGCAGCCUCAACCAACUCCACAAGCAGCAGGUGUCUGUGCAUGUAGAAAAAUCUUAACAUGUGAACAACUUAGCGGAAUGUAGUCUCUGUCUGAAUGCUGGGAACCUUAACAAAGCAGAGCAGCACCCAAUGGGAGAAAAGCACAUGAAGCAUUUUUAUGUGUGCACAUCUAACUGAAACUUUUUAUUUAGUUUUUUAUCUAGGCCAAGCACAAGAGAAGCAAACCUAUGCUACCUGCAGUGUACUAUAUUAGUGUGAUCACUGUGCCGGAAAUGACCGAUUUUUCUUUUACAAUAUUGGUCCUACAAGUUGGCUGCCAAAAAACAUUAAAAUUUUGCCAAAUCUUCUGCCCAAAUUUGUGUAUAAUCUGUGUUUGAUAUAUGUACCAGCUUAGAUUAACACCACUAUAUGCAGUGGUGACUGAAUGUGUUUUUGUAUGUGAUGCCAUACAUAUUAAACAUCUUUGAUAAGUUGUUGUCCUCCGCAUUUAAUAAAGACAUGCAAAUACUGAA